GAACUUGAAGCAACUCUCUGCUCAGCUCCCGCUGGUGAAAAAGCAGCCCUAUCCACUGCUCACUGUGAUGGGAAGAGAAGAAGUUGACAGCAACCUUUGGGCAUUCUGCUUCCUCCUCUUUCCCCAUCAGACCUUCCCUUUUGUAGUACAUCUGGAGGGCCACGAACAGCCUUGACAACAUCCCCAGAGGUCUCCUGCUUUCAAAAUGCCACGCGUUGAGCCUAUAUUGUAGUGAGCUGAGAUACUAACUUCAUGUGAGAUGAACUUCACGUGUGUUAACCUGAUGAGCUAGGUCUUGCCAGUGCUGUGAAUAGGUCUGGCUGUAGAAAACGCUUCUGGAGUGAGCAAAAAUUGCUCAUAUUCAGCUAAAUAUUCUGAAAACAGAAAGGCCUGCAGAGGAAGUGAACCUAGCAGCUAUCCAUAUAUUACUCAAACAUGACCACAUGCAUUCCGCUCUGUUUCUCAGCAAACCCCUCUGAAAAGGCUGUGCAUACGUCUUACUUCACAUGCAAGCGUUGACCUUUCCCAAUGAUGUCAGAGGAGAGCAAGCCAUAGGCCUGUUACAGAGCCCUGUGUCUCAUAUGCUUGUCCCAGCCACUGGGUGCUUUGUGAUGGACAUGCAGGGAUCGCAUACAUUUUCUACAGAAAGAGAGACCUGUCACCAUGGUGCUGGGCUCAGAGAGCUGCAGAGCAAGAGCUUCACCGAGCUGUAUGGCUGAAUUGUUCCCUUCUUCAUUGUCCAUUUAAAAAAAUCUAAAUGGAAGAUGGGAAGCUGCCUGCUUGAGGUUUGUGUAUGAAUAAUUAUAGGUACCUGCACUAGCAAGGGACUUUGUGAAAGACGAGUAAAUAGUUGGGCCUCUUCAGGGAAUGUGUGGCAAGCAGGUCAUUUAAAAAUAACUUUUGGAGGCUCUGGGAAGUGGGUGAAAUGAAGUAACAAACAGCUUCUGAAAAAACAGCCGACAAGGGAGCGUUUCAUCUGAUAUCACAGACUGCUAGUUUUCAUUCUGAUCCUGUUGUUGUCUUCUUUAUAUAGCUCAUAGAGUGCCCUUAAGUUGUCUCCAAAGGAUAUUAAUUUUCCACUGGCAUCAGAAAGGCUGCAAUGAUACUUGCACCAAGGUAAGCGACCCCCUCAAGGUUUCUGCACCCACAGCUCCGGACUGGCUGGAAACACAGGCAAUUAAUAAAUCAGAAAAUGAGUGCCUCUCGGCCCUCCUUGCUCCAGGGAAGCCAACAGGAGCUUUGUCAGUAGGAGCAGAACAAGACCACAGAGUGUGCCCCAUAAAGGAUGUGCAUGUGGAAAAGCUCUGCCGUCUAGAACGAAUGCCAGCUCUUAAGAGUUCUGAUCAAAGUCUGAAGUGGACUGAAGCAGAAAACACUGAACAAGAGCUGGGAUCCACCACAGAUGGGGGUGGCUUCGGCCACUACGGGAGGACUGCCACAGCCACGUGGUGAUGCUGAGAGACUUCCCAGCAAGCAGAGAACAUGCUGGUUCUUGCUCUGGGAGAACCAUUUGCAAUGUGAAACAGUGCAGGACAUUGCCAAACAAAGCCAACCAAACACCCUGGGUAUGCUGCUUGGAUGAAAGAGCUCUUUAGAAGAUGGACAAAUGGACGCAGGGGACAAAAGAAAGAAUGAAGGCCUUGACAGAAUGCAAGCGAUGAGUAAUGACUUUGCUUUCUUCCAUUCCAGCUGCCACACAGGCACAUAUGUUUUGGGGUUCUCAGUGUGCUCUUGGCUUCCCAAAAUGCUGUGACAUGGAAAACCCUCAGCUGAGUUGGACAGAUAGAUAAACCAAGGCAUCGAGUACUUACGCAUCUAACGCUUGGGCACUCAAAUCCUCAUAAAGGAACUGGGAGCUCAGGAGACGCACAUGCAGGAGGCAUUUGAGAGCCAGGACUUCAGCAAAGAUUCAGGUAUUUGCUCAACCACAGCAAAAUGUCAUCCCCUUCAAGUGGUGAAUGAGCCCUUGAUCUCUGCAAGGUCAAGAUUUUUGCCUUCUGGCUUUAGGUGCUAGUGGUGAGAGACCUGUCCAAAGGUGCUGUUUUCUAGUGCUGUUGUCUAGUGCUCAUUUCUCUACCUAUUCACCUGUACACGUGAAGACCUCUGCUGCUGGCCCUUGUCUGCAGGAAGCUUGGUGUGUUGAGUCUCCUCAUCAACCCAUCUGUUGGGGUGACCGUUCAGCCCCUUGCUGGCUCACAGUCUUGCUUUUGGGAUAUUUCUUCCCUUUUACUCUGGAGCAUCUUAAAUGUGGGUCCACUGAAUGUACAGAUUGAGAGCAGGGAAUGAAGGAGACGUGUUGCAGAAUCAACCCACCGACGUGUGCUGCUCACCCACGCACAUGGGGAGAGGGAAAGAUUAAAAGAUUAAAGUUACAAACUGGAAAGCGCCCCAGGCUACCACGGAGAUCCGAGUGACUGCCUGCGAAGCCAAACUCCCACUCUGGAGGUGCCGCUCCACGCUCGCUGUCACUCACUCCACACUUGCUUUCUCCUGCCAUCCCUUCCUGCUACUGCCUUUGCUAUUUUUACAGGCUGAAAAAUUAAGUAAUCAUCUGUUUUGGCCACGAAGGAGGGCCCUGGGCAACUCCUGGUUGUCACUGCAGGGCUCGUGGGCGUAGCCUUCUGCUCCAUCGCUGCACUCCUGUACUUCUAGACCUUGAAGACUCCUCCAUCAGCCUUCUGCUUUGCCCCAUCUGCCCAUAUCACGGCCAGGUUUGGUUCGGAUGCGGCUCAGGACUUGCGUGGGAGGGGCAGCAAUUUGCAGCAGUUAGAAUUUCAGUAAUGACAUAGGGAAGUUUGCAAGGCCUUCAGUGCUUUCUCGCCCCUACAGUGAGGUGCGAAUCAAGGCUUGCUCUACCAAGCUUACAAUUAAAUAUGCCCACAGUAUCAUACUCCUUCCUGUCAUUUGUUAAGAUUUUCUCACUUUCUUUUCUUUCCCUUCGUUAGAGCUGGACAAAGUUUUGGGGCUGAAAAGGCACAGAAGUAAAACUAAGGUCUGGGAGCUCCAGAACAGUUAUUAGCGCAGUGCUUGCGUUGGUAGGCAUGAUGCAAAGAAGGCUGUGGAUGCCCCAUCCCUGGAGGCAUUCUAGGCCGGGCUGGAUGUGGCUCUGGGCAGCCUGGUCUGGUGGUUGGUGACCCUGCACAUAGCAGGGGGAUUGAAACUCGAUGGUCAUUGUGGUCCUUUUCAAGCCGGGCCAUUCUAUGAUAUGAUAUUUUUGUUUGACUGUAGCAGUUAAUCUGAGCCAAAACGAUGAUUUCAUUUAAUUCUUGGAGUAUUGAGCUCUAGAAAUGUUUCUUUUCCAAUUUGCUUUCUGUUACUGUAUUUGAGUUUGGGGGCACUUUUUGUCAGAAACAAGCUGUUUCAAAGAAUAAAAACGGUUUGGCUCUGCUGCUUUGAGUAUGUUGAAAUGGUGUAUUUUGACAUCUCAGAAGUUCCUCCUCCUCCCUGUGCUUUUCAGAUGAAGGUAUUCCUCAGACUCAGGCUGUACUUGUGAAUGUGUUCAGUCCCCUUAGGGUUCCAUAUUUAAUCUGGUCUCCCAGCUAUCAGCUAUGCUGCCUGGCUCUGCUGUUGUGUGGAGGUGACAAAGGAGCACUGGGACCUUCUCGGUCCUGCAAGAAAUGGUGCUCAUUGCACGUGAGAUGGUGGGACAGCCAACUCCUAGCUUGGCUUUCCUGCUGA
ensembl:lncRNA